GUUAUAUGGUCAAGUGAAGAAGCGCAUACGGUGGAUGCCUUGGCAGUCAGAGGCGAUGAAAGACGUGGUAGCCUGCGAAAAGCUUUGGGGAGUCGGCAAACAGACUGUGAUCCAGAGAUCUCUGAAUGGGGGAACCCAGCCAGCACAAGCUGGUUAUCUUGUACUGAAUACAUAGGUGCAAGAGGCGAACCAGGGGAACUGAAACAUCUAAGUACCCUGAGGAAAAGAAAUCAACCGAGAUUCCCUUAGUAGUGGCGAGCGAACGGGGACCAGCCCUUAAGUUGGUUUGAGAUUAGUGGAACGCUCUGGAAAGUGCGGCCAUAGUGGGUGAUAGCCCCGUACACGAAAAUCUCUUAUCAAUGAAAUCGAGU
rnacentral:rRNA from 1 species